UCAUCAGGAGGUUAAUCCUUACCUGUUCCUCCUCUCAGAGGGCAGAUAGAAAAUGAUGAGAUUGGAGCUUGCAUGAUCUGCUGAUUAGCAUUAAAAAAUAUAUUUAUUUUUAUGUAUAUGCA